rnacentral:rRNA from 1 species
CCUACGGGUGGCAGCAGUGGGGAAUAUUGGACAAUGGGCGAAAGCCUGAUCCAGCCAUGCCGCGUGUGUGAAGAAGGCCUUCGGGUUGUAAAGCACUUUCAGUGGGGAAGAAAGCCUUGGGGCUAAUACCCUCGAGGAAGGACAUCACCCACAGAAGAAGCACCGGCUAACUCCGUGCCAGCAGCCGCGGUAAUACGGAGGGUGCGAGCGUUAAUCGGAAUUACUGGGCGUAAAGCGCGCGUAGGCGGUCUGAUAAGCCGGUUGUGAAAGCCCCGGGCUCAACCUGGGAACGGCAUCCGGAACUGUCAGGCUAGAGUGCAGGAGAGGAAGGUAGAAUUCCCGGUGUAGCGGUGAAAUGCGUAGAGAUCGGGAGGAAUACUAGUGGCGAAGGCGGCCUUCUGGACUGACACUGACGCUGAGGUGCGAAAGCGUGGGUAGCAAACAGGAUUAGAUACCCUUGUAGUC